CGCGUAGGCGGUUUCGGAAGUCAUGGGUGAAAGCCCCAGGCUCAACCUGGGAAUUGCCUGUGAAACCACGGAGCUGGAGUGCUGGAGAGGGAAGUGGAAUUCCCAGUGUAGCGGUGAAAUGCGUAGAUAUUGGGAGGAACAUCUGUGGCGAAGGCGGCUUCCUGGACAGACACUGACGCUGAGGCGCGAAAGCCAGGGGAGCAAACG
rnacentral:rRNA from 1 species